GACGAACGCUGGCGGCGUGCCUAAUACAUGCAAGUAGAACGCUGAAGCUUGGUGCUUGCACCGAGCGGAUGAGUUGCGAACGGGUGAGUAACGCGUAGGUAACCUGCCUGGUAGCGGGGGAUAACUAUUGGAAACGAUAGCUAAUACCGCAUAAUAGCAGUUGUUGCAUGACAACUGUUUAAAAGGUGCAAUUGCAUCACUACCAGAUGGACCUGCGUUGUAUUAGCUAGUUGGUGGGGUAACGGCUCACCAAGGCGACGAUACAUAGCCGACCUGAGAGGGUGAUCGGCCACACUGGGACCGAGACACGGCCCAGACUCCUACGGGAGGCAGCAGUAGGGAAUCUUCGGCAAUGGACGGAAGUCUGACCGAGCUACGCCGCGUGAGUGAAGAAGGUUUUCGGAUCGUAAAGCUCUGUUGUAAGAGAAGAACGAGUGUGAGAGUGGAAAGUUCACACUGUGACGUAUCUACCAGAAAG
rnacentral:rRNA from 1 species